AGAAUGUUCAAAGAGCAAUUCUUUGAAAUGUAUGAAGGGAUUCUAACUUUCCUUUCAAAUUGGUCAUUGCACUUUUAAAGCUCCGUAUGUAUGCAAGUCUUACAGGGUAUUUGUGCCAUAGUUAUGAUGCAAAUACUAGAAGAAGGUUAAAUAAAGUCCAAUUAAACAGUGUAGUAAUUGAGGUGAAAAUCUAUGAUUUAUGGAAAUUGCCGUGCUUCUCAACAGAAAGAAAUCAGUCACAACCAGGUUUUGGUAUCAAGAUGAUAAAAUACCUAGGAAUACAGCUAAUCAGGGAGAUGAAAGAUCUCUACAAUGAGAAUUAUAAAACACUGCUCAAAGAAAUCGGACAUGACACAAACAAAUGGAAAGACAUCUCAUGCUCAUGAAUAGGAAGUAUCUAUAUCAUUAAAAUGGCUAUACUGCCCAAAGCAAUUAAUAGAUUCAAUGCUACUCCUAUCAAACUAGCAAGGACAUCCUUCACAGAACUAUAAAAAUAUUUUAAAAUUCACAUGAAACCAAAAAAGAGCCCAAAUAGCCAAGGCAAUUUUAAGCAAAAAGAACAAAGCUGGAGGCACCACAUUACCUGGCUUCAAACUAUACUGCAAGCCUGCAGUAACCAAAACAGCAUGGUUCUGGUACAAAAACAGGCACUCAGAUCAGUGGAACAGAAUAGAGAGCCCAGAAAUAAGGCUGUACAUCUACGAUCAUCUGAUCUUUAACAAGGCUGACAAAAACUAGCAAUGAGGAAAAGACUUCCUAUUCAAUAAAUGGUGCCUGGAUAGCUGGCUAGCCAUAUGCAGAAAAUUGAAGCUGGACCCCUUCUUUACACCAUACACAAAAGUCAACUCAAGACAGAUUAAAGACUUAAAUGUAAAACCCAAAACUAUAAACACCCUGGAAGAUAACUUAGGCAAUACCAUCCUGGACAAAGGAACUGGCAAAGAUUUCAUGGCAAAGACACCAGAAGCAAUUGCAACAAAAGCAAAAAUUGAAAAAUAGGAUCUAAUUAAACUAAAGGCCUUCUGCACCGCAAAAGAAACUAUCAAUAGAGUAAACAGACAACCUACAGCGUUGGAAAAAGUUUUUGCAAACUAUGCAUCUGACAAAGGUCUAAUAUCCAGCAUCUAUAAGGAACUUAAAUUUAUAAGAGAAAAACAAACAACACCAUUAAAAAGUGGGCAAAGGACAUGAACAGACACUUGUCAAAAGAAGACAUACAUGUGGCUGACAAACAUUACAAAAGCUUAAUAUCACUGAUCGUUAGAGAAAUGCAAAUCAAAACCACAAUGAGGUAUCAUCACACAGCAGUCAGAUGGUUAUUAUUAAAGUAAAAAAUAACAGAUGCUGGUGAGGUUGCAGAGAAAAGUGAACACUUAUACAUUGUUGGUGGAAGUGUAAAUUAGUUCAGUCAUCGUGGAAAGCAGUAUAGUGAUUCCUCAAAGAGCUAAAAGCAGAAGUACCAUUUGACCCAGCAAUCUCAUUACUGGGUAUAUACCCACCUGAAUACAAAUUAUUCUACCAUAAUGACACAUGCACAUGCAGCACUAUUCACAACAGGAAAGACAUAGAAUCAACCUAAAUGCCCAUCAAUGACAGAUUGGAUAAAGAAAAUGUGGUACAUAUACACCAUGGAAUACUAUGCAGCCAUAAAAAAACCAAGAUCAUAUCUUUUGCAGGAACAUGGAAGGAGCUAAAGGCUAUUAUCCUUAGCAAACUAACACAGGAACAGAAAAUCAAAUACUGCAUGUUUUUACUUGUAAGUGGGAGCUAAAUGGUAAUAAUUUAUGAACACGAAGGGAAAACAGACACUGGGGUCUAAUGAUGAGGGAGGGUGGGAGGAGGGAGAGAAGCAGAAAAGAUAACUAUUGGACACUGGGUGUAAUACCUGGAUGAUUAAAUAAUAUAUACAACAAACCACUGUGACAUGUGUUUACCUAUGU
rnacentral:lncRNA from 1 species